rnacentral:rRNA from 1 species
UACAGAGGGUGCGAGCGUUAAUCGGAUUUACUGGGCGUAAAGCGUGCGUAGGUGGUCUUUUAAGUCGGAUGUGAAAUCCCUGAGCUUAACUUAGGAAUCGCAUUCGAUACUGGGAGACUAGAGUAUGGGAGAGGAUGGUAGAAUUCCAGGUGUAGUGGUGAAAUGCGUAGAGAUCUGGAGGAAGACCGAUGGCGAAGGCAGCCAUCUGGCCUAAUACUGACACUGAGGCACGAAAGCAUGGGGAGCAAACAGG